CUCUUAACCAGGCAGGGAAGAUACCUUGAACAUGAAGGAGGUUUUUGGAGGGCGAGGCUCAUCCAUUGCACUCUGGGUGUGUUGACCCCUGCGAUUUUCCCAAAUGUGGGAAAUUUGACUGAAUAAUUUAUCUUAAUCCCUUUAGAAUUAGUUAUGCUGGCU